rnacentral:rRNA from 1 species
GCUGGGGUUGGUUUGCGCAAUUUAGGCUCGGCCUUUAGAACAUGACUAUAAGUUUGACCUCAAAUCAGGUAGGAGUACCCGCUGAACUUAAGCAUAUCAAUAAGCGGAGGAAAAGAAACCAACAGGGAUUGCCUUAGUAACGGCGAGUGAAGCGGCAAAAGCUCAAAUUUGAAAUCUGGUACCUCUGGUGCCCGAGUUGUAAUUUGUAGAAGGUAAUCUUGGGAGUGGGCCUUGUCUAUGUUCCUUGGAACAGGACGUCGAAGAGGGUGAGAAUCCCGUAAGGCGAGGAGACCACAUUCUUUGUAAGAUGCUUUCGAAGAGUCGAGUUGUUUGGGAAUGCAGCUCUAAGUGGGUGGUAAAUUCCAUCUAAAGCUAAAUAUUGGCGAGAGACCGAUAGCGAACAAGUACAGUGAUGGAAAGAUGAAAAGCACUUUGAAAAGAGAGUGAAACAGUACGUGAAAUUGUUGAAAGGGAAGGGCUUUAGAUCAGACUUGGUAUUUAGCUAUCAUUGCUCCUUGUGGGCGGUGCUCUAGCUUUUUACUGGGCCAGCAUCGGUUUAGGCGGUAGGAUAAUGGUGAAGGAACGUAGCUCUGCUUCGGUGGAGUGUUAUAGCCUGUUACUGAUACUACCUGCUUAGACCGAGGACUGCGUCUUUUGACUAGGAUGUUGGCGUAAUGAUCUAAAGCCACCCGUCUUGAAACACGGACCAAGGAGUCUAACGUCUAUGCGAGUGUUUGGGUGUAAAA